CCUACGGGAGGCAGCAGUGGGGAAUAUUGCACAAUGGGGGAAACCCUGAUGCAGCGACGCCGCGGGAGUGAAGAAGUAUUUCGGUACGUAAAGCUCUAUCAGCAGGGAAGAAAAUGACGGUACCUGACUAAGAAGCCCCGGCUAACUACGUGCCAGCAGCCGCGGUAAUACGUAGGGGGCAAGCGUUAUCCGGAUUUACUGGGUGUAAAGGGAGCGUAGACGGCCGCGCAAGUCUGGAGUGAAAUCCCAUGGCUUAACCAUGGAAGUGCUUUGGAAACUGUGCAGCUAGAGUGCAGGAGAGGUAAGCGGAAUUCCUAGUGUAGCGGUGAAAUGCGUAGAUAUUAGGAGGAACACCAGUGGCGAAGGCGGCUUACUGGACUGUAACUGACGUUGAGGCUCGAAAGCGUGGGGAGCAAACAGGAUUAGAUACCCUGGUAGUC
rnacentral:rRNA from 1 species